AAAAGAAACGAAAAAGAGAAAAAAAGAAAAGAAAAAAAAGAAAAUUGAAUAGAUGGAUUAGCGAACAAUCUGAAAUAUGAUAGAAAUUACCUCGUUUUCCCCUAGAAGUCAAACGGUGAAGAGCUUUACAGUUUGUAAUCUAAGCCAGCGCAGAGACUUGUGUUAUGAAGAGGGAGGUUGGCCCAAGCUGGGCGGGGCUUAGUGGAAUGGCUCCGUUUUCCACUAGAUGGCGCUGCUCGCCUACUGCGGUAGAGUAUUGUGGCGCUGGUAGGUGCAUAUGCGCAUGCGUGGGAGCGGUAAAAAUGGCGUCACCCAGCCACCCGGUCUCUGGUAUUGGAAUUCUGGUCUCUUGGACCAGCAGUCGCGCACCCAUCCUUCCUCUCCGGCUUCCGUCCGCUCCCGGCUUUUACAGUGCCCGUGACCGAACCCCAGGCGGCGCCUCCCUCCUGAGUUUUAUCUCCGACGCGGCUGUGGUUCCCGACCCCUCACUUCUGAGGGACUGAGCUCUGACCCGCUCACAUCCUCUGCGGAGGGUCUCACGGAGCCAAGGCCGGUGCCCGCCGCCCCCCAGAGCGGUCGCGGGACCGUGCUGCUGCCGACCCCGGGGACUACGGCCGGGUGCCAGCCCGCCCCAGAAAAAGUUCAGGCGGUCGCGCGGCAGCAGCGUUUCAGGGAUGGUGGCAAAUCGCAAGGCGCACCUGGCCCCGGCUUCACCCCCAACGACCCCGUCCCAGCACCAGCGAGCGUGGCCGUUCUCCGGGGGCUGCUGGCACCUUUGCCCGUGGGGGGCCGCGCCGCCUCUGCCAGAUGUCCUCCCGGCAGGGGAACCGCCUCUCCCGUGGGGCCCGAAGACCCACCGGACUUGACUCUGCUCCCGAGGAUCCGCCCUUCCCGCCAGAGCCCCCCCAGGUUGGUGCAGUGAAGCCCAAUGUUUGGAAAGAGACCCUGAGCCAGCACUCCUGGGCGCCCCUACGUCCGCACUCUGGGGUGCCCCUCUGUCCAUGGACGCACACUUGCCUGCAGCUUCCCUCGCAAGAACGGCCUUUCUUUGGACCUCGGUUUCUCUUGGAGCUGGAGGCCCUGUGCUCAACGACUCUGUUCCUGGUCCUUCAGCACGAUUUGGGCCACUCUUUUGUGUGCUUUCCUCAAUAAAAAAAAAAACCUUC